rnacentral:rRNA from 1 species
ACGAACGCUGGCGGCAGGCCUAACACAUGCAAGUCGAGCGCCCCGCAAGGGGAGCGGCAGACGGGUGAGUAACGCGUGGGAACGUACCUUUUGGUUCGGAACAACUCCGGGAAACUGGAGCUAAUACCGGAUAAGCCCUAACGGGGAAAGAUUUAUCGCCGAAAGAUCGGCCCGCGUCUGAUUAGCUAGUUGGUGAGGUAACGGCUCACCAAGGCGACGAUCAGUAGCUGGUCUGAGAGGAUGAUCAGCCACACUGGGACUGAGACACGGCCCAGACUCCUACGGGAGGCAGCAGUGGGGAAUAUUGGACAAUGGGCGCAAGCCUGAUCCAGCCAUGCCGCGUGAGUGAUGAAGGCCUUAGGGUUGUAAAGCUCUUUUGUCCGGGAAGAUAAUGACUGUACCGGAAGAAUAAGCCCCGGCUAACUUCGUG